UUGAUCAACUAAAGCCACUGC
rnacentral:siRNA from 1 species